UACAGAGGUCUCGAGCGUUGUUCGGGAUUCAUUGGGCGUAAAGGGUGCGUAGGCGGCGGGGUAAGUCUGAUGUGAAAUCCCGGGGCUCAACCCUGGAACUGCAUUGGAUACUGCCUUGCUAGAGAGCUGGAGAGGAAACUGGAAUUCCCGGUGUAGAGGUGAAAUUCGUAGAUAUCGGGAGGAACACCAGUGGCGAAGGCGGCGAUCUGGGAAGAUACUGACGCUGAGGUGCGAAAGCGUGGGGAGCAAACAGG
rnacentral:rRNA from 1 species